GCAGUAUCUCGUUAGGCGAGGCUCCUAUACAAACACAGGUUGCUGAUCUGACGACGUCGAGAGACGCCCAAGAUCAGGACAGGAUAUAUCGAACGAAGGUAUAUCCCCAUGUAACUUCCUACUGAUUAGUAGGAUACGUUGUAUAGUGCUAAAACCGAGACGUGGAGAUAGCCA
rfam:Providencia sneebia DSM 19967 chromosome, whole genome shotgun sequence.